GGCACCCGGCCUCGCCCCGAUUCCCGCGGGACCCUUCGAAUUUUAGGAACUUUUCACUAACGAAACACACUUCUGUGUCAGCACCGACAUCAAGAAGAGAACCUCACCAGCACCUCAGAACCCGCUUUGUCCCUCCCUGGUUCCUUCCCCUGGGUGCCUGGUGUGCUGCCGUCUCACCCAUAUGUAGUUGAGCGCAGCAGCCCCUGUAGGACACCUGGCAGAUCAGGUCACAGUCCUGCUGUGCCCUCGGGCUCACUCGGGAGCUGGGGGCUCCCAGGUGCUCCUCCAGCAGCUCAGUUCAGCAUGCUGGGGGGUCAGGGCCAGCCCCUGUCCCUGGGGCCUCAGGCCUCCCUUUCUUCCCACAGUGGCCAAGAUCGCGGGUCUCUACAAUGACUUGGAGCCACCCCGGAAGACCAUGCGCAGAGGGGUGCUGAUGACCCUGCUGCAGCAGUCGGCCAUGACCCUGCCCCUGUGGAUUGGGAAGCCUGGUGACAAGAGACUACGUGGCCAGACCUGGAGACAAGGUGGCUGCCCGGGUGAAGGCCGUGGAUGGGGAUGAGCAGUGGAUCCUGGCCGAGGUGGUCAGUUACAGCCAUGCCACCAACAAGUGAGUGACACCAGCCCCGGG
ensembl:lncRNA novel transcript